GGUUGUUUCCCGGAAAGUUCCGCUCGAGAUGGUCUGGUCCUUUUACCAUUGCUAAGAUUUUUCCACAUGGAGCAAUUAAACUUCAUCAUGAGGAAAAUGGGAACUUCAAGGUUAAUGGGCAACAAUUGAAACCAUACUUUGGAGAUGAUUUUUCUAAGGAGAAGUCCUCCAUUCCUCUUGCCAAUUUGGAGUGAACAAGGCCUAUAGUCGAGCUAGGGACUAUAACCAAGCGCUUUUUGGGAGGCAACCCAACUUUCUUAUCCUUGCACUUUUGUUUAUGUUACUUGUGAUUAAUAUUUUUGUUGUUACAUUUUGAAUUAAUACAAUUCUUUUGUAGGUCAAAAUUUUUGAAGUCCUAGCCAUUCAUAGAUCUCAACAAGUUUGGGGGUGCAUGGUCCAUUGAGUCAUAAACCAAAAAUUCAUCUACAACAUCCUUCAACAAACAUCUAAUCGGGGAAGUUUCAUUAUCCCUCUCCUCUUUAUCUUAUUUUUUACACAUUGAGGACAAUGUGUGGUUUAAGUUUGGGGGUGAUUGUGCUUGAAUUGGUGAUAUUGUGUUGAUAUAUUAGAUAGCCUUGCCGGCUUUGCAUGAUUUUGAUGUUUGAAAUUAUUAUUUAUUCAUGAGUCAUGCAUACAUGACCAAAUAUGCUAUUUGUACGUAAUUUUUUUCAAAAAAAUUUUGCUUAUCUAUUGUGAGAUUUUGAAUUACUUUGGGCACAAUAGUCAUGAUUAAUUGUUAUCUAGAUGUGGAAAAUUUUUUAUUGAAGGAUAUAUUUUUGAAUUGGUUGAACUAGGUUGUGACUUGUAAGUUGUUUGGAAAUUUUUAUCAAUCUAUAUUCUCUUUUCUUUCACUUUACCAUAUUGUGAGAUAAGUUUGGGGGUGGUCGAACCGGUGAAGGAGAUUAUCUAGAAGUGUAUGAUUCCGUGCAUGUUGAAAAUAUUUGUGUGGAGUGUCUUUUGCCAAGUAUAAGCUAGGUAAUGACCGUAUGCUAGGGAUCUAAACCCCAUUUUUGUUGUGUUAAAAAAAAUGAAGUUAUUGUACUUGUUGAAUCUUGG
rnacentral:lncRNA from 1 species